rnacentral:rRNA from 1 species
AUUGAACGCUGGCGGCAUGCCUUACACAUGCAAGUCGAACGGUAACAGGUCUUCGGAUGCUGACGAGUGGCGAACGGGUGAGUAAUACAUCGGAACGUGCCUAGUAGUGGGGGACAAAUACUCGAAAGAGUGGCUAAUACCGCAUGAGAUCUACGGAUGAAAGCAGGGGAUCGCAAGACCUUGUGCUACUAGAGCGGCCGAUGGAAGAUUAGGUAGUUGGUGGGAUAAAAGCUUACCAAGCCGACGAUCUGUAGCUGGUCUGAGAGGACGAUCAGCAACACUGGGACUGAGACACGGCCCAGACUCCUACGGGAGGCAGCAGUGGGGAAUUUUGGACAAUGGGCGAAAGCCUGAUCCAGCAAUGCCGCGUGCAGGAUGAAGGCCUUCGGGUUGUAAACUGCUUUUGUACGGAACGAAAAGCCCCGGGUUAAUACCCUGGGGUCAUGACGGUACCGUAAGAAUAAGCACCGGCUAACUACGUGCCAGCAGCCGCCGUAA